AAUAGAGCUGCGGAAUAGAACGUGCGUCAUAGAAGCAGCCAAUCAGAGCUUUGCCGCAGUGUCUACAACUUUUUCUGCAUGCGUUCGCGUCAUUGGCGUCGUUGCGUCGUAGUGUCAUAGAAUUCGUAGCAAUCGUAGCCAUAACUAAGUAACAGUUGAAUGAAUUAUUUUUGAGACAGUAUUUGGUGCGACUUGAAAAGCAUAUCCAAUAGACUUCAUGCUAUCUCCACUUGCUAAAUACCUUAAGCAUAUUUGCAGUCUUGUGUAUGAAGCAAAUGGUUCUCUAAUAUUUAAUUGUUUUUCAAUUCCGGGACCUACUAUUAAUUAUCCGCAUCAAAAUGCAUUGAUGCUACAAAGCUCUGAUUGGCUGCUUCUAUGAUGCACGUUCUAUUCCGCAGUUCUAUUCCGCACCAUGUGAUUUCAGCCUAAGGCAGAAUGCAGUAGUCAUAGCGCAUGCGCUAUAGUAUUACAUUUUACCAUGGACAGAUAAAGUCAUAGAGCUUGUAUUAAUGGAAGGGCCAUUGCUAUAUGCCGGAGUCCGUACGGGAAGAAUCGACAGAGACAUGAAUAUAUUCUCAUAUAUUCUGUUUCUUUUCGUGUUGAACAUCCCCACCAUUCCGUUUUCUAGAAGGAAAAAAGCGCACAUACGACAGGUACGAGCCUACCGACUUGGUGCCUACUUGGGUCUCCGGCUGUUACUCUACAAUUAGUACAAAAAAUUUUUACAUACGAAAGUAAUACUGUGCAUUUAUUGAUUGGCAUGCAUCUUUUAGAUUCUAAAUUAUGUACUACUUAAUGAAUACACAGCCUGCGUUCGAAAAUAGCUUUAGCUGGUGUUGGGAAAAAAAGUUGGUAAUAUUGAGAAUUCCCAACGCUGUGUUCGUUUUCUCCCAGCUGGAAGUAGUCGGAGAUCGAUUGAAUAGGUGCAUUUAGUGCAAAUGGCAACGAAAUAUCUUAACAAGCGAUAACGUACGCACGUGUUUUAUAUAAUUAACUUAUACCUACGAUUUUUGGAAUUUAGCAAAUUCAAGGCUCUUUCUUUUCGUAUUGUUGAACAAGAAACGAAAGUCAAUAAAAAGAAUAUACAAAUUUAAUUAACAUUAUUAUUAUUAUGGAAAAGUUAUUAUUGAAGAAUAUUUUACUCGAAAACAUGUUUGAUUCUUCUAGUAUAGUUUAUCGUCUAAUAACAGUGAUGAUGACGAUGAAGAAUUACAAAAUAUCUUUUUCAGUAACAACAUAGAUGAAAAAAGUAACGUACCAAAAAUAAAAAAUUAUUUAGAACAUAUUGUAGCAAUUAAGGGGGGCAAGUCAUGUAACACACUGAAAAUUGAGUGAUUUUUUGGAAUUUUGUUUGAGGAAUCUAUACAACCAAUUCUUUUGAAAUUUUCAAGGUAUGUUAUUGUAAUAUUGAACUACUAAAAAAAUAUUUUUUGACAGAAAAAUAAUAUGUAUUUUAUAAAUAAUAAUAAUGUAAAUCUAAUGCGUCGACGUUGAAGUCACUUGUCGGCGUGCAAUGUAGCGCUGCUUGUAUUCAUCUGAAAUAAAAAAACCAAAUAGAUUUCUUUUUUGUACGGUUUGCGUUAUCAAUUGAACCUAUUGUUAA
rnacentral:lncRNA from 1 species